GCUUGUCUCAAAGAUUAAGCCAUGCAUGUCUAAGUAUAAACGAUUUUAUACGUGAAACUGCGAAUGGCUCAUUAUAUCAGUUAUAGUUUAUUUGAUGGUCCUUACUAUUUGGAUAACCGUAGUAAUUCUAGAGCUAAUACAUGCAUCAAGCCCUGACUUCGGAAGGGGUGCACUUAUUAGAUAAAGCCAACGCUGGGUAAAACCAGUUUCCCUUGGUGAUUCAUAAUAAUUAAGCGGAUCGCAUGGCCUUGUGCUAGCGACAGUCCACUCGAUUUUCUGCCCUAUCAUGGUUGAGAUUGUAAGAUAGAGGCUUACAAUGCCUACAACGGGUAACGGGGAAUUAGGGUUCGAUUCCGGAGAGGGAGCCUGAGAAACGGCUACCACAUCCAAGGAAGGCAGCAGG
rnacentral:rRNA from 1 species